CCCUUAGAUGUCCUGGGCCGCACGUGGGCUACAAUGAUGCAGAUAACGAGCUAAGUUUACUCCCUGUUCCGGAAGGCUUCGGGUAAUCUGAGAAUCUGCAUCGUCCCAGGGAUAGAUCUUUGAAAUUAUGGAUCUUGAACCCGGAAUUCCUAGUAAGCGCAAGUCAUCAGCUUGCGCUGAAUACGUCCCUGUCCUUUGUACACACCGCCCGUCGAUUCUGGAAAAACUAAGGCGUGAACGAGGUUUCGUGGACUUCGGCUUGGCCGUCGCCUCGCUGAGGGAAGGAAAACGAGUAUCACUUAGUCAUCCAGGAUAUGUCGUAACA
rnacentral:rRNA from 1 species